AAUAAAAGAUCAGGGACUGAGUCAAUACAGUUUUACCAGCCUUGUCAAAAGCUCCUUGUCCAAACUUUUUUCUUCUAAAAGCAAACUCCUCUCUCUGCAGCUGCCUUCAGCAUGAUGUGCUCCGUGACACUGUGGCUUUUCCCUGCCAGCACUAUUUCUAGGAGGGUCAUGGGCCAGGGGGCUUGAUGUGCAUGUGAAUGGUGAGUCACAUUUUUGCAGUAACUGUAGAUACUUGCACUCUCACCACCACCCCUGAUUUUGAUGCAGGGUGUGCUUCACGAGAGGUUCCAGUGGAUAAAGUUCCCAGCAUGGAGCAACCAGCCAGCAUCAAGAUCCGGCCACAGCACCAGCAACAUCCCAGUGCCAGCGUCUCGGUACUAGCACAGUGGAAUACGCUGCACGGAAUUGGCCUGCCCAGUUUCUGAUGGAAUAGCCCACAUGAUUUCUUGUAAUAGCUUCAGCUUACAGUGGAUGUGUUUCUUGAUUACAUCUUUUGUUUGUUGAUCUCUGUGAGACUUCACAGAUGAAACAAGUCUCGCUGUGAGAAACACUGGAAGAAUCAUAGAAGAAACUGUCUGAAGAACCACAUUUGAAGAUGCUGUCAUUGUAAAUACCACUUCAGCUGUCCUGUAUCGGAUGCUACAUACUCCUUCUUUGACUGGCAUCUGAAUCUGAGUUUUCUCCAGCAGCACUGCACGUUCUCCAAGUGGCUUUUUCAAUGAUCAGUUUAGCUUACAAGAACUUUCAAAGUAAAAUCUAUUAAAUCAGCUACAGGAGAAGUGAUUUAUCAUAGCUACCUGCCAUCUCUUCCUCUGCUGGAACAGUUAAAUAGAUGCACUUUAGAGGAAAAAAACAGAUUACAAAUCCCAGCAGAAAGAACAUGAAAGCAGGAGACAAGCUGUCCUCAGACACGGGGUCCAACUCUGAUUGACAAAUACUUAGUGUUCUUUGUAUUUACUUACAUUUUCUAUUUAUAUUUAUUUAAACCUUAGUAUUUUUAAGUUGUAUGUUUAUUUAACCUUAUUGUUUAGUAUAUUUAUUUAUUUAGUAUAAGGCACAAAACCUUAGUAUUUCUGAGCUGCAAUGAAAACUAUUCCACUUCGUUAAAUAUUUUCCAUCACAACUAAACUAAAACAUGUCAGUGACCAUGCAGUCCCUUCCUGCAACCAAACACCAAAGAAUUUGUCCCACCAUCCAUCCAUCCAUCCAUCCAUCCAUCCAUCCAUGCAUCCAUCCAUCCAUCCCUCCAAAAGUGAGUUAACCCUUUCACUGGUUUCAUGUUAUGAAUCUGUUACCUGGAAGGGCUCAGAUACACUAAACAACAGUUAACAAUAAGACCUUAAGGGUGAAGAACAUAAAGACAUUGCUCACAAAAUCGUUUGAGUUAAGACUGGAAACAGUGACUGCAUGAAUUCACCCAUUCUUACCCUGCUGUAAAUUUGAGAUUCAGAAGAGGAUGAUGGAGAGCAAGAGAGGGUCAGGAGCAGGCUGCACACCUUGCAUGGAAACAUACUUGAGCAGUUACCAGGGAACCACUGGAGCACUACUGAUCCACGUUUUAGCUUGGUUUAUGGUUACCGCUCACGUAAGCCAUGAGAUAAGUGGAACUAGUGUGAAAUAAAUGAAAAUUAUUUGCAACUAAUGAGAGGCAAACAAAGUGGCUUCGGCUUUGCCUGUACCUCAGACUAGGACUCUAAAGCCCUUUGCUUUCCUACAAAACAUAGUAUUAAAAGGCUGUCUGUAAGACAAGAAAUUUGUAAGAGUUAACUACCAUGGACCCAAAAAAUGCUUGAAAUAAAAUCCUCUCACCAAA